AAAAUUUUCCCCUCCCGCCUUGUCUUUGUGGAAGAGCGGUUACCCCAGUCCUGUGAGGAUUUUGAGGUCUUUGUGGCGGGCAAGCUGGUGCAUUCUAAAAAGGGAGGAGAUGGGUAUCUGGAUGGCUACUUCAAUGAGUCCAAACUGGUCAAAGUCGUGGCUCAGAUCCAGGAAGUGCUGAAAGACUUGUAACUUCACAGCUGAACAGAUGAAGAUGGGGAUGGAAGGCUCCCCCCACCCAACCCCACAGGGCAUGAACCCUGGGGAACAGGGGUGAGAUGGAGCCCGGGAACUUUAUCUCCUGCUCACCUUCCUAUCAGGUUAUCUUUUCCCAUCUUCCUCCUCUCAAGUCCUCCCCAUCUCCUGCUCCAGCUUAAUGACAGGAAAGAUGGAAAAUACCUCAGAAGCUGGGUCCUUCCUUGAUGGCUGCUGGGCACCAUGGGGGAGACACAUAACAAGUGUGCGCCUUUUA